UACGUAGGGUACGAGCGUUAAUCGGAAUUACUGGGCGUAAAGCGUGCGCAGGCGGUUAUUUAAGUCAGGUGUGAAAGCCCUGGGCUUAACCUAGGAAUUGCGCUUGAGACUGGAUAGCUUGGAGUGCGGCAGAGGGAGGUGGAAUUCCACGUGUAGCAGUGAAAUGCGUAGAGAUGUGGAGGAACACCGAUGGCGAAGGCAGCCUCCUGGGCCAGCACUGACGCUCAUGCACGAAAGCGUGGGGAGCAAACAGG
rnacentral:rRNA from 1 species